rnacentral:rRNA from 1 species
GACGAACGCUGGCGGCGUGCUUAACACAUGCAAGUCGAACGGAAAGGCCUCUUUCGGGGGGUACUCGAGUGGCGAACGGGUGGGUAACACGUGAGUAACCUGCCCUUGACUUUGGGAUAACUUCAGGAAACUGGGGCUAAUACCGGAUAGGAGCUCCUGCUGCAUGGUGGGGGUUGGAAAGUUUCGGCGGUUGGGGAUGGACUCGCGGCUUAUCAGCUUGUUGGUGGGGUAGUGGCUUACCAAGGCUUUGACGGGUAGCCGGCCUGAGAGGGUGACCGGCACAAUGGGGACUGAGAUAAGGCCCGGAACCCUACGGGGGGGAAAGGGGGGAAUAAUGGAAAAAGGGGGGGAACCCUGGGCAAGAAAGCCGGGGGGGGGGUUAAGGGCCUCGGGGUUUGAACCCCUUUUCGCUCAAGAAGAAGGUUUGGGGGAGGGGAGGGGGGAAAAAAGCACCGGUUAAAUAAGU